rnacentral:rRNA from 1 species
CUAUGUGUUGUUGGGUAGGGGAGCGUUCUGUAAGCCUGCGAAGGUGGCCUGUGAGGGUUGCUGGAGGUAUCAGAAGUGCGAAUGCUGACAUAAGUAACGAUAAAGCGGGUGAAAAGCCCGCUCGCCGGAAGACCAAGGGUUCCUGUCCAACGUUAAUCGGGGCAGGGUGAGUCGACCCCUAAGGCGAGGCCGAAAGGCGUAGUCGAUGGGAAACAGGUUAAUAUUCCUGUACUCGGUGUUACUGCGAAGGGGGGACGGAGAAGGCUAUGUUGGCCGGGCGACGGUUGUCCCGGUUUAAGCAUGUAGGCGGGUGUUCUAGGUAAAUCCGGAACGCUGUUAACGCUGAGGUGUGAUGACGAGGCACUACGGUGCUGAAGCAACAAAUGCCCUGCUUCCAGGAAAAGCCUCUAAGCAUCAGGUAACAUCAAAUCGUACCCCAAACCGACACAGGUGGUCAGGUAGAGAAUACCAAGGCGCUUGAGAGAACUCGGGUGAAGGAACUAGGCAAAAUGGUGCCGUAACUUCGGGAGAAGGCACGCUGAUGGUAGGUGAAGUGAUUUACUCAUGGAGCUGAAAUCAGUCGAAGAUACCAGCUGGCUGCAACUGUUUAUUAAAAACACAGCACUGUGCAAACACGAAAGUGGACGUAUACGGUGUGACGCCUGCCCGGUGCCGGAAGGUUAAUUGAUGGGGUUAUCCUCGCGGAGAAGCUC